rnacentral:rRNA from 1 species
UACGUAGGGCGCAAGCGUUGUCCGGAAUUAUUGGGCGUAAAGAGCUCGUAGGCGGUCUGUCGCGUCGGCUGUGAAAACUCGGGGCUCAACUCCGAGCUUGCAGUCGAUACGGGCAGGCUAGAGUUCGGCAGGGGGGACUGGAAUUCCGGGUGUAGCGGUGGAAUGCGUAGAGAUCCGGAAGAACACCGGUGGCGAAGGCGGCCUGCUGGGCAGUUUUGCUGACACUGAGGCGCGACAGCGUGGGGAGCAAACAGG